rnacentral:lncRNA from 1 species
AAGCCAAUCACUAAGUACCCUCAUAUAUUUCUAUCAAUUAUUCUCCUUUUUUUCUAUUUAUUUUUUUAAUCAAUAUAUAUGACAUAAUUCACUUGAUAUUCAUCGUGCGUGCGAAUGUAAGUGUUAAUUAAGACUGUUUCUAAACCUGCUUCCUAACACAUCCGUUUAUUUUGAGAGAAAAAUGCUACGUGUACAUUCCAUAAAGCGAGUAUAAAUUUUACACCGGCCCUCACAUCAAAAAAAAAAAAAAAAAAAAAUCUCUUAAGGUUUUUAAUAAGAAAAUUGAUACGAUAAGUAAAUCUAAAUCAUAAAAGGUCAAGUAUACAAAGUUCAUAUCUACAUUAUUAUUCAUUAGUGUGACACCAUUAGAAUUUGAAAUAAUUUUAUAUAUAAAAUGUAAUUAAUAUAGCUAAAUCUCUUGAUUCGGUUUUACUAUUUUUUGCGGUGAUUAGAUACAAGGGGUUAAAAGGAUUAAGUGUACUGCUAGAACUAGAGUAGUUUUAAGAUGAGUGACCCCUCCUAUGAGAGUAAAUCAUCAGCCGAAGUGUGAAAUAAAUCUCAGCUGAACUAGAAUCAUACAGUAAACAGAGCGCGGCUCCUCGACUGACGAUCAUUGUGGUUGGGUGGAUCGUAACUCCCCACAAGAUCAGAUAAGGCUAACGAGACGAGUGUUACAUUACUUGAUGUUUGUGAGUGUGCUUGAGCCGGACGAGAACGUUAAAGCUUAAAGGGGAGAGGAAUGCCAGCUAAACUUUUUAACUCGAUUAUAUAGUUUUAGGCGAUGGUUAGACUUCAAAAAGAUUAAGAAAAUUAAGCAUAUUAGCACCGAAAUAAUUAAUUUUAUAAUAGAU